CCCCAAAUUUUCCCACUUUCUCCCCCUUUUGACCCCAAUUUCCCCACUUUUGACCCCAAUUUUCCCCCUUCUGACCCAAAUUUUCCCCCUUCUGACUCAGAUUUCCCCACUUUUUUCCACUUUUGACUCAGAUUUUCCCCCCUUUUGACCCCAAUUUCCCCACUUUUUCCCCCUUCUGACCCAAUUUUUCCCCCUUUUGACCCCAAUUUCCCCCUUUUGACUCCAAUUUCCCCACUUCUGCCUUAGAUUUCCCCACUUUUGAUUCCAAUUUCCCCCCUUUUGACUCAGAUUUUCCCCCUUUUGUCUCCAAUUUCCCCACUUUUGACCCAUAUUUUCCCCCUUUUGACUCCAAUUUCCCUCCUUUUGACCCCAAUUUUCCCACUUUUUCCCCCUUCUGACUCAGAUUUCCCCACUUUUGGCUCAGAUUUCCCCACUUUUUCCUCCUUCUGACCCCAAUUUUUCCCCUUCUGACCCCAAUUUUCCCACUUUUUUCCACUUUUGGCUCAGAUUUCCCCACUUUCUCCCACUUCUGGCUCAGAUUUCCCCACUUUUUCCCCCUUUUUCCCCAAAUUUUCCCAUUUCUGACCCAAAUUUUCCCCUUUUUUCCCCCUUUUUCCCCCACCUGUGUGCCUGUAGACACUCCUGCUGAGCGGCAGCGGCAGCUCCUCGUGCUGCACCGUGCAGGUGAACCUUUCCCCAGCCAACCAAUCCUGGGUGCUGAUGGGGACGGAGCUGCUGGCGCUGUAGGUUCCAUUAAAAUGUUCCUGGAGGACCAUGGGGUCGGGACGGAGGAUUCCGCUUUUUUCCCUGGUCCAGGUGAGGCUGAGGCUGGAAUCGCUGGGCAAGUUGACCACCAAACAUUUCAGUUUGGCAUCCAGGCCGAUGUAAAGCUCGCCUGGGCUCGGGGGGAUGGCGUAGAGUUGGAUGGGGCUGCAGCUGUGGGGGCCUGGGGGGGGUCCAGGUGAGGCUGAGGCUGGAAUCGCUGGGCAAGUUGACCACCAAACAUUUCAGUUUGGCAUCCAGGCCGAUGUAAAGCUCGCCUGGGCUCGGGGGGAUGGCGUAGAGUUGGAUGGGGCUGCAGCUGUGGGGGCCUGGGGGG
rnacentral:lncRNA from 1 species